AUACGGAGGAUCCAAGCGUUAUCCGGAUUUAUUGGGUUUAAAGGGUGCGUAGGCGGACUGGUAAGUCAGCUGUGAAAGUUUGCGGCUUAACCGUAAAAUUGCAGUUGAUACUGUCAGUCUUGAGUGUGCAUGAGGUGGGCGGAAUUUGUGGUGUAGCGGUGAAAUGCUUAGAUAUCACGAGGAACUCCAAUUGCGAAGGCAGCUCACUGGGGCAUAACUGACGCUGAUGCACGAAGGUGUGGGUAUCAAACAGGAUUAGAUACCCUGGUAGUCCGCACAGUAAACGAUGAAUACUCGCUGUUUGCGAUACACGGUAAGCGGCCAAGCGAAAGCGUUAAGUAUUCCACCUGGGGAGUACGCCGGCAACGGUGAAACUCAAAUGAAUUGACGGGG
rnacentral:rRNA from 1 species